rnacentral:rRNA from 1 species
AACUUAAAUGAAUUGACGGGGACCCGCACAAGCGGUGGAUGAUGUGGUUUAAUUCGAUGCAACGCGAAAAACCUUACCCACCUUUGACAUGUACGGAAGAUCGCAGAGACGCGAUUGUGCUCGAAAGAGAACCGUAACACAGGUGCUGCAUGGCUGUCGUCAGCUCGUGUCGUGAGAUGUUGGGUUAAGUCCCGCAACGAGCGCAACCCUUGCCAUUAGUUGCUACAUUCAGUUGGGCACUCUAAUGGGACUGCCGGUGACAAACCGGAGGAAGGUGGGGAUGACGUCAAGUCCUCAUGGCCCUUAUAGGUGGGGCUACACACGUCAUACAAUGGCUGGUACAAAGGGUUGCCAACCCGCGAGGGGGAGCUAAUCCCAUAAAGCCAGUCGUAGUCCGGAUCGUAGUCUGCAACUCGACUACGUGAAGUCGGAAUCGCUAGUAAUCGUGGAUCAGAAUGUCACGGUGAAUACGUUCCCGGGUCUU